UACGUAGGGUGCGAGCGUUGUCCGGAAUUAUUGGGCGUAAAGAGCUCGUAGGCGGCUUGUCGCGUCGGAUGUGAAAGCCCGGGGCUUAACUCCGGGUCUGCAUUCGAUACGGGCAUGCUAGAGUUCGGUAGGGGAGAUCGGAAUUCCUGGUGUAGCGGUGAAAUGCGCAGAUAUCAGGAGGAACACCGGUGGCGAAGGCGGAUCUCUGGGCCGAUACUGACGCUGAGGAGCGAAAGCGUGGGGAGCGAACAGG
rnacentral:rRNA from 1 species